GCAGUAUGGUACAGAAGAGAAAACUGGAGUUAUUGCAGUUGUAAACAGUAAUCAUGAACACCAUUUGUAGGUUUUCUCCUGAUUGUUCUGUCUUAAUUUUUUAAAGUAAAUAAACUAAUCAUACAUGUAAUUUUGACUAACCAUAGUAGUUUGUUUUUGAACUCGCUUUGUGAUGGAUCCGAGCUGGUUACUAGUUGUUGCUCUUUAAUGUAUCUCUUGUACAUUAAAUGCAAGAUCACUGAAUCAUUUAUAGUACAAAUCAUGCAACACACUAAGGAUGUUGCUGUGAAGCUUUGACUUUGCAGAUCG